GUUUAAUCAAUAAUAGUUAAUUUGUGAAUACAUCUUAAUUUACUUUAACUAAUCCUCAGGUGUGUAGAUCUCUAGAGUGUGGUUGUGAUUUGGUGAAUACCUUGGUUGUGGCGUUGUGUGAUGAGGCCUUCCUGAAGGGUGUGUUGUCAGUAACUACACUGCAAGACACAGACAUUAUACAUUUAUAGUAAUG